ACCUGUAUAGCUCAGCGGUAGAGCGGUCAGCAUUUCGAUGUUGGAUGACGCGAGUUCGAAUCUCGCUACAGGUC